rnacentral:rRNA from 1 species
AACCCGACUACNCGAAGCUGGAAUCGCUAGUAAUCGCGAAUCAGAAUGUCGCGGUGAAUACGUUCCCGGGUCUUGUACACACCGCCCGUCACACCAUGGGAGUCGGGAAUGCCCGAAGUCAGUGACCCAACCUUUGGAGGGAGCUGCCGAAGGCAGGUCUGAUAACUGGGGUGAAGUCGUAACAAGGUAGC